rnacentral:rRNA from 1 species
UACGUAGGGGGCGAGCGUUGUCCGGAUUUAUUGGGCGUAAAGAGCUUGUAGGCGGCUUGGCAAGUCGGGUGUGAAACCUCCAGGCUCAACCUGGAGACGCCACUCGAUACUGCCAUGGCUAGAGUCCGGUAGGGGACCACGGAAUUCCUGGUGUAGCGGUGAAAUGCGCAGAUAUCAGGAGGAACACCGGUGGCGAAGGCGGUGGUCUGGGCCGGCACUGACGCUGAGGAGCGAAAGCGUGGGUAGCAAACAGG